ensembl:rRNA 5S_rRNA 5S ribosomal RNA
GUCUAUCACUGUACCGCCCUGAACACACCUGAUAUCAUCUGAUCUUGGAAGCUAAGCAGGGUUGCGCCUGGUUAGCACUUGGAUGGGAGAAUCCCAUGGACAGAGAAACCUGGUGCACUAUGGUCC